rnacentral:rRNA from 1 species
GACGAACGCUGGCGGCGUGCCUAAUACAUGCAAGUAGAACGCUGAAGCGAGGAGCUUGCUCUUCUUGGAUGAGUUGCGAACGGGUGAGUAACGCGUAGGUAACCUGCCUUGUAGCGGGGGAUAACUAUUGGAAACGAUAGCUAAUACCGCAUAACAAUGGAUGACACAUGUCAUUUAUUUGAAAGGGGCAAUUGCUCCACUACAAGAUGGACCUGCGUUGUAUUAGCUAGUAGGUGAGGUAAUGGCUCACCUAGGCGACGAUACAUAGCCGACCUGAGAGGGUGAUCGGCCACACUGGGACUGAGACACGGCCCAGACUCCUACGGGAGGCAGCAGUAGGGAAUCUUCGGCAAUGGGGGCAACCCUGACCGAGCAACGCCGCGUGAGGGAAGAAGGGUGUCGGAUCGUAAAGCUCUGUUGUAAGUCAAGAACGGGUGUGAGAGUGGAAAGUUCACACUGUGACGGUAGCUUACCAGAAAGGGACGGCUAACUACGUG